GUUGUGGUGGCUCAGUGGUUAGGGCUUUGAGUUACAGAUCAGAAGGCUGUGUGUUCAAAUCCCAGCAGUGCCA